CUGCCAAGCAGAUGCCCAGAGAGUCUGUCUUCAGAGAGGACCGAGGCUUCUCCUGCCACAGCACAGGAAAUCAGCCCACUGAACCCAGGAAUUGCUUGUGUCCCUCAUCUAAAAUUACAGUCACAGUUGGUAUGGCAGAUCUGAUUGGACAAGGGUUGGGCACUGAUCCUGUGAAAUGGGACAUUCAGAUUCUACUCUUCAAGACCUGAUAAAGGCUGAACACUGAAACCGUACUGUUGAGUAAAGAUGUCAUCAGAGAAAGAGCCAUCUACUCUAGGGACCAGGGUAGUCUUAUUUAGGGAGCAGAACC
rnacentral:lncRNA from 1 species